GUCACUCAGCCGCAGGUCCCGCCCCCGCCCCCGCGCGUCUCGAGCCCUUGGGGUUUCAGUCCCCCUCGCGGUCCCGCUACCUGGGCGCGCCCGGUCGGCGGGCAGCUGCGGGCCCGGCGCGGGGCGGCGGCACCGAGGCGGGAGGGGGGGCGCGGCGGUGUCUGUUGGAGCGGUUCCCGCUCAGGGCCGCCGGCGAGGGCAUGAGCGCGGGCUGCCCUUGCCUCGCGAGCGGCGGCGGGAGCGGCGAGGCGGCGGGGCGCCGCGCACAGGCCACGGCCCGGGGCGGCGCCGGGGGGCUGCGGGCCGGGAGAUGAGCCUGUCGCCAGCGGCCCAGGAAGCAGCAUGCACCGCGAUGCCACCGACAGCAGCGGCGCCCGCCGCGGCCCCACGUCCGCCGCAGACGCCUGCCGCGCUGCCCGGGGCUCCGCGGACCGGCCGCGGACGGCGGACGGCCCGGGCUGGGGCUGGCGGGGGCCCGCGGCCGUGGCCGCCCUGGCAGUGCUGGCGCUGUGCUGCCUGGUCCCAGGCUGGGGACCGGCGGCGGGCACGGGGCCGGGCGCCGUGCUGCUGCGCCUCAGCCUGUACCUGAGCUGCGCCGCGGCCGCCUUGCUGCUGGGGACACUGGUCUCGCUCGUCUGCUGGAGCCCGCGCGCCCAGCCGCCGGACUUCGUCUCUUCCUGGAGCCGGCUGGCGGCGACCGUCCGCUGUCCGCUGCGGAGCCCUGUAUAUGGAAAUCCACAGGAGACAGCUCAGGGCAGAAGAGUGGUCAUUUCUCACAACAUGGAUCGUGUUCUGAGAGAUGUGUUCGACUACAGUUACAGAGACUAUAUUCUCUCCUGGUACGGGAACCUCAGCAGAGAUGACGGACAGCUCUACCAUCUGCUCUUAGAUGACUUCUGGGAAAUUGUCAAGCAGAUUCGCCAGAGGCUGAGUCACGUGGAUGUGGUUAAAGUUGUCUGUAAUGAUAUUGUAAAGGCUUUGCUCACUCACUUCUGUGACCUGAAGGCUGCUACUGCCAGACAUGAAGAACAGCCAAGGCCUUUUGUGUUGCAUGCAUGCUUGAAGGAUUCACAUGAUGAAGUAAGAUUCCUUCAAACAUGUUCUCAGGUUCUGGUGUUAUGCCUUCUCCCUUCUAAGGAUAUCCAGUCUCUCAGCUUACGUACAAUGCUCGCAGAAAUUCUUACGACAAAAGUCUUGAAGCCAGUAGUGGAAUUGCUGAGUAACCCUGACUACAUUAACCAAAUGCUGCUCAGGCAGUUGGAGUACAGAGAGCAGAUGAGUGAGCAUCACAAGCGAGCCUACACGUACGCGCCUUCCUACGAGGACUUUAUCAAGCUCAUCAACAGCAACUCUGAUGUGGACUUCCUGAAGCAGCUCAGGUAUCAAAUUGUAGUGGAGAUAAUCCAAGCAACUACAAUCAGCAGCUUUCCCCAGCUGAAGAGACACAAGGGUAAGGAAUCAGCUGCCAUGAAAACUGAUCUCUUGAGGGCCAGGAACAUGAAAAGGUACAUUAACCAGCUGACUGUGGCAAAGAAGCAGUGUGAGAAGAGAAUCCGAAUCCUGGGAGGUCCUGCCUAUGACCAGCAAGAGGAUGGAGCCUCGGAUGAAGGGGAAGGGCCUCAGAGCCAAAAGAUUCUUCAGUUUGAAGAUAUUAUGACCAAUCCUUUCUACCGAGAGCGCUUUGGAACAUACAUGGAACGGAUAGACAAGCGGGCUCUAGUUGGCUUUUGGGAGUCUGCCGAACACCUGAAGAAUGCUAACAAGAGUGAAAUUCCACAAUUAGUUAGUGAAAUGUAUCAGAAUUUCUUCGUGGAAAGCAAGGAAAUCUCCGUGGAAAAGUCACUUUACAAAGAAAUCCAGCAGUGUCUUGUGGGAAACAGAGGCAUCGAGGUGUUCAGCAAAAUCCAAGCCGAUGUGUCCGAGGUGCUGAGGGAGCGGUAUUACCCCUCCUUCCUCGUCAGCGACCUGUAUGAGAAGCUCAUGCGUGAGGAAGAAGAGGAGGAGCCUGACGCUCAGCUGGCCUCUGAGAAGGAUGAGCUGGGUUCAGGAGGUGAGGCUGGUGAGGAGGCUGUAGAAGGCACCAGUGGGGUCAGUGAUCCAGCCAGCUUUGCUGUAAUCAAACUCCGAGAGCUAAAUGAGAAACUUGAAUACAAAAGGCAAGCUCUAAGUUCUAUUCAGAAUGCACCAAAACCUGAUAAGAAGAUUAUUUCCAAGUUGAAGGAUGAAAUACUUCUGAUAGAGAAAGAAUGCACGGCUCUUCAGCUGCACAUGGCGAGAACAGAUUGGUGGUGUGAGAACCUGGGCCUGUGGAGAGCAUCCAUCACCAGCGCAGAGGUGACAGAAGAGAAUGGCGAGCAAAUGCCUUGUUACUUUGUCAGGGUAAAUCUACAAGAAGUUGGAGGAGUUGAAACUAAGAACUGGACCGUCCCAAGAAGGCUCAUGUGUCCCUUCUUUAAAAAAAGUCCAGUUGCCUUCUCUCAGUAAGCUGCCUUUCAAAUCUAUAGAUCACAAGUUCCUGGGAAAGUCAAGAAAUCAGUUAAAUGCAUUUCUACAGAACCUGCUUUCAGAUGAAAGACUGUUCCAGAGCGAAGCACUUUAUGCCUUUUUGAGCCCUUCUCCUGACUACCUCAAGGUCAUUGAUGUACAGGGGAAAAAGACCUCCUUCUCAUUGUCUUCAUUUCUGGAAAAACUUCCUCGUGACUUCUUCUCCCAUCAGGAGGAGGAGAUAGAAGAGGACAGCGACCUGUCCGAUUACGGGGAUGAUGUGGACGGGAAGAAGGAUUCCUUGGCUGAACCGUGUUUCAUGCUGAUCGGGGAGAUUUUCGAACUUCGAGGAAUGUUUAAAUGGGUGCGAAGAACAUUAAUCGCUCUUGUUCAGGUCACGUUUGGAAGAACCAUCAACAAGCAAAUCCGCGACACGGUGAGCUGGAUCUCCAGCGAGCAGAUGCUGGUCUACUACAUCAGUGCUUUCCGGGAUGCCUUUUGGCCAAACGGGAAACUGGCACCUCCAACAAGAAUCCGAAGCGUGGCACAGAGUCAGGAGACGAAGCAGAGAGCACAGCAGAAGCUGCUCGAGAACAUUCCAGAUACACUUCAGAGCCUUGUUGGACAGCAAAAUGCCCGCCAUGGUAUAAUAAAAAUAUUCAAGGCGCUGCAAGAGACAAAGGCCAACAAACACCUGCUCUAUGUGCUGAUGGAGCUGCUGCUGACAGAGCUCUGCCCUGAGCUGAGGGCUCACCUGGAUCAGUUCAAAGCUGGCCAAGUCUGAGAGCGCACAGAGCAGCCGCCAGAGAAAUGUCUGUGUAAAAAUAGACAUUAAAUAUUUUCCUCUUUUGCACAGAGGGCCUGACAAGAACCAUAUGAUUUUUAUUUCCGAGCCUCCCUCUAGCUGUACGUGAAGUGAGCAGAGUCAGAGGGAGGAGGACAGAUGCUGUGGUAGGCAAUAGAAAUCAGACUUUAAAAGCUCAACAUGUUGAUUGAAAUACAAAUGUUAAUAUGUGAUAAGAACAUAGGAAAUAUUUUAAAUAUUUAUGAAAACAGUUUUGUUGUUAAAUGACAAACUCAGAAUAUUGUACAGUUAAUCUCCUCACUGAGGAUUCUGAACAUUCCUGUGUCUCACAUGUAUUGAAGACCACUGUUGUGCAAUGCUUGAUGUAAAGUUAUUGUGAAACUUUUAUUGUUUUUAUUUUUACCAAAGAUUUCCCAUAGUUUGAAGCAUUUGAAGCAAUAAAAUAUAAAAAUGAA